rnacentral:pre_miRNA from 1 species
AACUGAAUUACCUGGUGAUCUUGUUAAAAUGCAGAUUCUGAUUCAGGAGGACUGGAGUGUGGACUUGGAUUCUGUAUUUCUAAUAAGUUCCUAGGGGAUACCAUU